rnacentral:rRNA from 1 species
GAUGAACGCUGGCGGCGUGCCUAAUACAUGCAAGUCGAGCGAACGGACGAGAAGCUUGCUUCUCUGAUGUUAGCGGCGGACGGGUGAGUAACACGUGGAUAACCUACCUAUAAGACUGGGAUAACUUCGGGAAACCGGAGCUAAUACCGGAUGAUAUUUUGAACCGCAUGGUUCAAAAGUGAAAGACGGUCUUGCUGUCACUUAUAGAUGGAUCCGCGCUGCAUUAGCUAGUUGGUAAGGUAACGGCUUACCAAGGCAACGAUGCAUAGCCGACCUGAGAGGGUGUUCGGCCACACUGGAACUGAGACACGGUCCAGACUCCUACGGGAGGCAGCAGUAGGGAAUCUUCCGCAAUGGGCGAAAGCCUGACGGAGCAACGCCGCGUGAGUGAUGAAGGUCUUCGGAUCGUAAAACUCUGUUAUUAGGGAAGAACAUAUGUGUAAGUAACUGUGCACAUCUUGACGGUACCUAAUCAGAAAGCCACGGCUAACUACGUG